rnacentral:rRNA from 1 species
GAGGAAUAAGCAUCGGCUAACUCCGUGCCAGCAGCCGCGGUAAUACGGGGGAUGCAAGCGUUAUCCGGAAUCAUUGGGCGUAAAGCGCCUGUAGGUUGUUUAAUAAGUCUGUUGUUAAAGACUAGGGCUCAACCCUAGAAAAGCAAUGGAUACUACUAGACUAGAGUAUGGCAGGGGUAGAGGGAAUUUCUAGUGUAGCGGUGAAAUGCGUAGAUAUUAGAAAGAACACCGGUGGCGAAAGCGCUCUACUGGACCAUUACUGACACUCAGAGGCGAAAGCUAGGGUAGCAAAAGGGAUUAGAUACCCCUGUAGUCCUAGCCGUAAACGAUGGAUACUACAUGUUGUAUUUAUUUUACAGUAUGGUAGCUAACGCGUUAAGUAUCCCGCCUGGGGAGUACGCUCGCAAGGGUGAAACUCAAAGGAAUUGACGGGGGCCCGCACAAGCGGUGGAGCAUGUGGUUUAAUUCGAUGCAACGCGAAGAACCUUACCAGGGCUUGACAUACUGCGAAUCUCUUUGAAAGAAGAGAGUGCCUUCGGGAAUGCAGAUACAGGUGGUGCAUGGCUGUCGUCAGCUCGUGUCGUGAGAUGUUGGGUUAAGUCCCGCAACGAGCGCAACCCUUGUUUUUAGUUACCAAUUCGUUGGGUUUUCUAGAAAGACUGCCGGUGACAAACCGGAGGAAGGUGAGGAUGACGUCAAGUCAGCAUGCCCCUUAUGUCCUGGGCUACACACGUGCUACAAUGGUGAGGACAAAGAGUCGCAAGUUUGUAAAAACAAGCUAAUCUCGUAAACCUAACCUAAGUUCAGAUUGUAGGCUGCAACUCGCCUACAUGAAG